rnacentral:rRNA from 1 species
AGGGUUUGAUCAUGGCUCAGAACGUACGCUGGCGGCACGCCUAACACAUGCAAGUCGAACGAAGUAGCAAUACUUAGUGGCAGACGGGUGAGUAACAUGUAGGUAUCUGCCCUUUGGCCUGGAAUAACACGAGGAAACUUGUGCUAAUACUGGAUAAGUCUUUACGGAGAAAGCUUUAUGCACCAAUGGAUGAGCCUGCACUUGAUUAGUUUGUUGGUAGGGUAAUGGCCUACCAAGACUAUGAUCAAUAGCUGAUUUGAGAGGAUGAUCAGCCACAUUGGGACUGAGACACGGCCCAAACUCCUACGGGAGGCAGCAGUGGGGAAUCUUGCACAAUGGAGGAAACUCUGAUGCAGCGAUGCCGCGUGAGUGAAGAAGGCCUUUGGGUUGUAAAGCUCUUUCGUCGGGGAAGAAAAUGACUGUACCCGAAUAAGAAGGUCCGGCUAACUUCGUGCCAGCAGCCGCGGUAAUACGAAGGGACCUAGCGUAGUUCGGAAUUACUGGGCUUAAAGAGUUCGUAGGUGGUUGAAAAAGUUGGUGGUGAAAUCCCAGAGCUUAACUCUGGAACUGCCAUCAAAACUUUUCAGCUAGAGUUUGAUAGAGGAAAGCAGAAUUUCUAGUGUAGAGGUGAAAUUCGUAGAUAUUAGAAAGAAUACCAAUUGCGAAGGCAGCUUUCUGGAUCAAUACUGACACUGAGGAACGAAAGCAUGGGUAGCGAAGAGGAUUAGAUACCCUCGUAGUCCAUGCCGUAAACGAUGUGUGUUAGACGUUGGAAAUUUAUUUUCAGUGUCGCAGCGAAAGCGAUAAACACACCGCCUGGGGAGUACGACCGCAAGGUUAAAACUCAAAUGAAUUGACGGGGACCCGCACAAGUAGUGGAGCAUGUGGUUUAAUUCGAAGAUACGCGCAGAACCUUACCAACACUUGACAUGUUCGUCGCGACUUUAAGAGAUUAAAGUUUUCGGUUCGGCCGGACGAAACACAGGUGCUGCAUGGCUGUCGUCAGCUCGUGUCGUGAGAUGUUGGGUUAAGUCCCGCAACGAGCGCAACCCUCACUUUUAGUUGCCAUCAUUUAGUUGGGCACUCUGAAAGAACUGCCAGUGAUAAGCUGGAGGAAGGUGGGGAUGACGUCAAGUCCUCAUGGCCCUUACGUGUUGGGCUACACACGUGCUACAAUGGUAUUUACAACAGGAAGCAAAACGGCGACGUUUAGCAAAUCCUUAAAAAAUACCUCAGUUCGGAUUGCACUCUGCAACUCUAGUGCAUGAAGCUGGAAUUACUAGUAAUCGUGGAUCAGCGUGCCACGGUGAAUGCGUUCCCGGGUCUUGUACACACCGCCCGUCACACCAUGGGAGUUGGUUCUACCUUAAGGCAAGGUUUAAAAUCCUUGACCACGGUAUAGUCAGCGACUGGGGUGAAGUCAUAACAAGGUAACCGUA